rnacentral:ncRNA from 19 species
UUAUAUGUCGCUGCUUUAGGUGUUAUCUGUAAUACAUUUACUGAUAAUUAAACGGGAAGCUGGUGAGUCAUAUUUAUUAUGAAAGUAAGUGACGAAUCCAACACUGCCCCCGCAACGGUAAGCGAGAUAAAUUAGAUCCUAUGCCACUGUGAUUCAUUCAUGGGAAGGCGGUCUAAUAUAGACAUUCUCGUAAGUCCGGAGACCGGCCUAUUGCUAUAUCAACAAU